rnacentral:rRNA from 1 species
AUUGAACGCUGGCGGCAUGCCUUACACAUGCAAGUCGAACGGCAGCACGGGAGCAAUCCUGGUGGCGAGUGGCGAACGGGUGAGUAAUAUAUCGGAACGUGCCCAGUCGUGGGGAUAACGUAGCGAAAGCUACGCUAAUACCGCAUACGAUCUAUGGAUGAAAGCGGGGGAUCGCAAGACCUCGCGCGAUUGGAGCGGCCGAUAUCAGAUUAGGUAGUUGGUGAGGUAAAGGCUCGCCAAGCCGACGAUCUGUAGCUGGUCUGAGAGGACGACCAGCCACACUGGGACUGAGACACGGCCCAGACUCCUACGGAGGCAGCAGUGGGGAAUUUUGGACAAUGGGCGCAAGCCUGAUCCAGCAAUGCCGCGUGCAGGAUGAAGGCCUUCGGUUGUAACGUAG